rnacentral:rRNA from 1 species
CCUACGGGAGGCAGCAGUGGGGAAUAUUGGGCAAUGGAGGAAACUCUGACCCAGCGACGCCGCGUGAGGGAUGAAGGCCUUCGGGUUGUAAACCUCUUUCAGUAGGGAAGAAGCGAAAGUGACGGUACCUACAGAAGAAGCACCGGCUAACUAUGUGCCAGCAGCCGCGGUAAUACAUAGGGUGCAAGCGUUGUCCGGAAUUAUUGGGCGUAAAGAGCUCGUAGGUGGUUUGAUACGUCGGGUGUGAAAUUCAGGGGCUCAACCCCUGACCUGCAUUCGAUACGGUCAAGCUGGAGUUUGGUAGGGGAGACUGGAAUUCCUGGUGUAGCGGUGGAAUGCGCAGAUAUCAGGAGGAACACCGAUGGCGAAGGCAGGUCUCUGGGCCAAUACUGACACUGAGGAGCGAAAGCGUGGGGAGCGAACAGGAUUAGAUACCCUGGUAGUCCACGCCGUAAACGAUGGGCGCUAGUUGUGCGAACCUUCCACGGUUUGUGCGACGCAGCUAACGCAUUAAGCGCCCCGCCUGGGGAGUACGAUCGCAAGAUUAAAACUCAAAGGAAUUGACGG